GACGUAGGGCGCAAGCGUUAAUCGGAAUUACUGGGCGUAAAGCGUGCGUAGACGGUUAUGUAAGUCAGGUGUGAAAGCCCCGGGCUCAACCUGGGAAUGGCAUUUGAGACUGCAUAGCUAGGGUGCGGAAGAGGGAAGCGGAAUUUCCGGUGUAGCGGUGAAAUGCGUAGAUAUCGGAAGGAACAUCAGUGGCGAAAGCGGCUUCCUGGUCCAGCACCGACGUUCAGGCACGAAAGCGUGGGGAGCAAACAGG
rnacentral:rRNA from 1 species